GUAACAGGAAGCAGCUUGCUGCUUUGCUGACGAGUGGCGGACGGGUGAGUAAUGUCUGGGAAACUGCCUGAUGGAGGGGGAUAACUACUGGAAACGGUAGCUAAUACCGCAUAACGUCGCAAGACCAAAGAGGGGGACCUUCGGGCCUCUUGCCAUCAGAUGUGCCCAGAUGGGAUUAGCUAGUUGGUGGGGUAACGGCUCACCAAGGCGACGAUCCCUAGCUGGUCUGAGAGGAUGACCAGCCACACUGGAACUGAGACACGGUCCAGACUCCUACGGGAGGCAGCAGUGGGGAAUAUUGCACAAUGGGCGCAAGCCUGAUGCAGCCAUGCCGCGUGUAUGAAGAAGGCCUUCGGGUUGUAAAGUACUUUCAGCGGGGAGGAAGGUGUUGUGGUUAAUAACCGCAGCAAUUGACGUUACCCGCAGAAGAAGCACCGGCUAACUCCGUGCCAGCAGCCGCGGUAAUACGGAGGGUGCAAGCGUUAAUCGGAAUUACUGGGCGUAAAGCGCACGCAGGCGGUCUGUUAAGUCAGAUGUGAAAUCCCCGGGCUCAACCUGGGAACUGCAUCUGAUACUGGCAGGCUUGAGUCUCGUAGAGGGGGGUAGAAUUCCAGGUGUAGCGGUGAAAUGCGUAGAGAUCUGGAGGAAUACCGGUGGCGAAGGCGGCCCCCUGGACGAAGACUGACGCUCAGGUGCGAAAGCGUGGGGGAGCAAACAGGAUUAGAUACCCUGGUAGUCCACGCCGUAAACGAUGUCGACUUGGAGGUUGUGCCCUUGAGGCGUGGCUUCCGGAGCUAACGCGUUAAGUCGACCGCCUGGGGAGUACGGCCGCAAGGUUAAAACUCAAAUGAAUUGACGGGGGCCCGCACAAGCGGUGGAGCAUGUGGUUUAAUUCGAUGCAACGCGAAGAACCUUACCUGGUCUUGACAUCCACGGAAGGUCUCAGAGAUGAGACUGUGCCUUCGGGAGCCGUGAGACAGGUGCUGCAUGGCUGUCGUCAGCUCGUGUUGUGAAAUGUUGGGUUAAGUCCCGCAACGAGCGCAACCCUUAUCCUUUGUUGCCAGCGGUUAGGCCGGGAACUCAAAGGAGACUGCCAGUGAUAAACUGGAGGAAGGUGGGGAUGACGUCAAGUCAUCAUGGCCCUUACGACCAGGGCUACACACGUGCUACAAUGGCAUAUACAAAGAGAAGCGACCUCGCGAGAGCAAGCGGACCUCAUAAAGUAUGUCGUAGUCCGGAUUGGAGUCUGCAACUCGACUCCAUGAAGUCGGAAUCGCUAGUAAUCGUGGAUCAGAAUGCCACGGUGAAUACGUUCCCGGGCCUUGUACACACCGCCCGUCACACCAUGGGAGUGGGUUGCAAAAGAAGUAGGUAGCUUAACCUUCGGGAGGGCGCUUACCACUUUGUGAUUCAUGACUGGGG
rnacentral:rRNA from 1 species